rnacentral:rRNA from 1 species
AACGAACGCUGGCGGCAGGCUUAACACAUGCAAGUCGAACGGGCGUAGCAAUACGUCAGUGGCAGACGGGUGAGUAACACGUGGGAACCUUCCUAGGGGUACGGAACAACUCAGGGAAACUUGAGCUAAUACCGUAUACGUCCGUGAGGAGAAAGAUUUAUCGCCCUUAGACGGGCCCGCGUCGGAUUAGCUAGUUGGUGGGGUAACGGCCUACCAAGGCGACGAUCCGUAGCUGAUCUGAGAGGAUGAUCAGCCACACUGGGACUGAGACACGGCCCAGACUCCUACGGGAGGCAGCAGUGGGGAAUCUUGGACAAUGGGCGCAAGCCUGAUCCAGCCAUGCCGCGUGAGUGAAGAAGGCCUUCGGGUU